AGCGAACGCUGGCGGCAGGCCUAACACAUGCAAGUCGAACGAACCCACAGGGGUUAGUGGCGGACGCGUGAGUCGCACGUGGGAAGGUGCCUUUAGGCACGGAAUAACACAGGGAAACUUGUGCUAAUACCGAAUGAGUCCUUCGGGUGCAGGAUUUAUCGUCCGUAGAGCGGCACGCGUCCGCUUAGCUAGUUGGGUGUGGUAAAGGCUCACCAAGGCGACGUUCAGUAGCUUGUCUGGGAGGAUGAUCAGCCACAUCGGGACUGAGACACAGCCCAGACUCCUGCGGGAUGCAGCAGUGGGUGAUCUUGCGCAAUCGGCGAGGUGCUGACGCAGCCAUGCCGGGUGAAUGAUGAAGUUCUUAGGAUUGUAAAGUUCUUUCACCGGGGACGGUAAUGACGGUACCCGGAGAAGAAGCCCCGGCUAACUUCGUG
rnacentral:rRNA from 1 species